AGCAGGUUUUGCUUCAAGAAUAAGGCAUGGGAUAUGAGGGAAAUUUUGUCUAACUGGAGUUCAAAAGAAGGAGAAAAUGGAUGCAUCUAUAUCUGAAGUCUUGACAAUCACUUGUAUGGUCCAAACUUGAUCCAUUCAAAGAGCAAAAACUGAACUUUGAACUCAUAGAGUCCAGACUCUCUCUAAAGAGGUCCAGAACAUACUGAAAUUCUUUUUUGAAAUUUAGCUACGGGACUAUAUAUAGGGUCCCGGCUCUCUAAAUAAGUCUGGACCUGAUUGUGCUUUGAAGUCCUUUUUUCAGCUUGCUUGUUGUUAUCUUAUGCCUUCACAUGACAAGCAACCCAGGUUUCGGUUAUGAGAGAUAUUGAAGCUCGUUUGGCAAGAAAUUUGGGAGACUUAUCUCAGACUUUUUUGAGAGGUGUUCUCUCAUUUUUCUGGAUCAGGUUAGGUUUUCUUUUUCUUUCUUUGUAAUCUUCAAGGUUGUAAAAUGGUUGGAGAGCCAUCCACAGAGGAGCUCUAAGAUCACAUUCAUGGCUAGAUUCUCCAGCUAGGGAAAGGUUAGUUUGAUGUAAUUUUUAUAUACAAUGUAUUGGCUUCAAAUUGCACUCUAUCAAAGCUUCUGUGUUUCCAUUUCAGAUCUUCAUUGCAUUUGUUGCUUCGAUAUUUUGUGUUAAAUGCUUGAUGAUACACCAA
rnacentral:lncRNA from 1 species